CACCAAGAAGUGACUGCGGGGUAUGGACUAUGUCGCCUACAACGUCCAGUCUGUGGGCCUACCCAGGUCACCCUAUCAUACUUCCUAAAUUCUAAGAUCACCCCCCAAAAGCUGAAAUGAGGGUAUAUUUUAUACUAGUUGGUCAUCGUUUGAUGGGCAGCAGUUUUUCUCAGUGACACCUAAAAUAACAGCUUCCGAAGUCAUAGGAAAUACUGUACUGAAGACUGUCCCCUCCUCCUAACCCCCAGGCCCAGCUUCCCUAGGAAUUCAACACUCGUGGCUUACAUUUGGCUUAUAUUUUAAAUUCACAACUCAGACUUUGGGCUGACGUGGUGUAGCUCAGUGGUAGCACUCGUUGCUUAAGUUCUGGGUUCUAAUGCCAGCACUAAGAGUCAAGCCAAACCAAACCACAGGGUCCUUCACAUCUAUCCUCUCAAGAAAGCUCUAAACACUCAACUGGGAGUUUAGAAAGAACAUCUAAUUUAUUCUCCCCUAGGAGGGCUUGAACCCAGCCCACACUACCAGCAACUAUGCAGUUUCUCACACUAGGGGAAAUGGCAGAGGCAGGCACAUAAGAAAGGCAAAAGCACAAGCUCAAGGCCCUGGGUUUGGUCCCCAGCUCCGAAAAAAAGAAAAAAAAAAAAAACAAGAAAAAACAAAACAAAAACCAACAACAACAAAGAAGGGCAAAAGGAGAAGCCUGGCCUCCUGGAAAACCACCCUGGAAGGUACUCAAAUCUAAUUCUGAACAACACUGUUCUUUGUCAAUAGUCAUUUCCCCCAUCAUCUGUGCUUCUGUGGAGUCUGUAUUUUACAAGGGAUCAAGUCCCGGUAAUAAUUCAAACUGUUGAGAACCAGGAAGCGGCUCUGAGGCAAGGAACCAGCCAAAGUUCUGAACUAAACAGAGCCUGGAGUUCUGAGACUAAUUAAUAAGCCUGCCACCCUCCCUUCUGGUGUUCAGAAAGCCAGGCGGACCCUAACUACUACAGCGCCCAUGGAAAAGAACCACGGAGCUCUCAAAACAUCAUGUAUUCAUCGUGCAUGCAUUCAAGAACCCUAUCUCUUUCUACAAAGAAUAAAUUCACCGUAAGUUCGAGGAGGAGGGUUCAAUUUUGGGUUCAGCAUUGUUUACGUGGCCCGCACGCUGGGGUAAGCGCUGCGGGACAGAGACAGGGGCAGUCUCUGUGUUCCAUCAGGACCAAUUAAGAUCCCCACCCCACCCCCUGUUCUCUGGACCAUAGACAAUGAGAGGUAGGACCCGGGGACAUAGGAGGGAUGAAGUUGGGGACAGGAGGGGUUUGUUCGAACCUUGGCACAUCCCCUCAUCCAUAGACAGAAGCCCUCGGACAAGACCCGGUUCUCUGCGGACAAGAUCCGGUUCUCUGCGGUCAAGACCCGGUUCUCUGCUGACAAGACCCGGUUCUCUGCUGACAAGACCCGGUUCUCUGCGUAGUUCGGCGACGACGUAACAGAGCUAGCGGGCCUGGAUGCCCACAGUGGCCUCGGAAGCGAGAGUCCCGGUCCCAGGUCUCUUACCGGCGGCGGGUACAGGGUUUUAAUGAAGGGAAAAAUACAGUUUGUACAUGAAAUCGACUUUUUCAAUAUUCUACAUAAGCUGGUAAGGAGUGAUGGCCAAGUUCCAGAAGGCUUGCGCAAUGGGACAGUGUUUAAGUAUCUAAAAGCACCAGAGGUCUACUAAAGUCAUUUACACAAACAGAAGCCAUCAUGCCUCAGUAAGUCACUGUUUGGAUGAUAUUGAAAACUAAGAAGCUCUUUGCUAGAGAACAUACACAGGUAAUCUUUGAGGACACAGAUCAAGUUACUUUGGUCAUGUUCCUAGAAGGGAGAAGGGUGGAUGGGGGAAGGGACACUCCUUACUUAUUUGGUACUUCUUUUCUCACUAUGGAGCCCCAACUGGCCUGGAACUCACUAAGUAGAUCAGGCUGGCCUUGACCCACAAAGGCCCCUGCCUCUGCCUCCCAAUGGCUGGGAUUAUUGGCAUGCUGGGAUUAUUGGCAUGCUGGGAUUAUUGGCAUGCUGGGAUUAUUGGCAUGCUGGGAUUAUUGGCAUGCUGGGAUUAUUGGCAUGCUGGGAUUAUAGGCAUGCUGGGAUUAAAGGCAUGCUGGGAUUAUAGGCAUGCUGGGAUUAUAGGCACGCUGGGAUUAUAGGCACACUGGGAUUAUAGGCACACUGGGAUUAUAGGCAUGCUGGUUUCCUUUUCCCUUAAAACAUGCCUCAUGUAGCCAAGGCUGGCCUUUGAUCCUCCUCUCUGUCUCCCACAUAUUCAAAUAGUUUAGUUAUUUAGCACUCUGAAAGCUAUGGUAAGACAACAUUUCUAUGUUAUGUAUCACAUCUGAUACAGCUGAGAACUAUUAAUCACUGAAUUAAGGCUGAAGAUGGCAAAAGUUUAUUCUACAAGAAUGAAGCACCGUGUCUUUCUCUCUCAUCCAGACUGACAGCAUUCUUCCAACCGUUCUACGUUCCCAGCAAAUCCUACAUGAAACCUUCACUCAAUUACUGUCUAAAUGUAUUUUUUUCUGCAUAAUCCCCCGCUUUGGUCAAUAUCUAGGACAAACAUAGCUUCAAAAUACACUGAACUUUUGCUAUUUAAGAGUAUAAAGAACAUAAUAUUAUCUAAUGAGGUUAAUGUGCAAGCCGUUUGAAGCCCCAGAGUCAGGAGAGACGGCUCCCGCCUGGCUCAGUGGGUUAAGGUGCCUGACGCAAAGCCUGAUGACCUGAGCUCCAACUGUAGCAUGUACACAGUACAAAGAGCUGACUCUACCUCCCCACAUCACUGUGUGACCUCCACACAAGUACAGCAGCAUAGGCGUUCCCCCUCCACUAAAUAAAUAAUGUAAAAAAGAAAGGACAGCUAGGCAUGGCGGUACAUGCCUUUACUCCUAGCACACAGAAGAAAAAGGAAGUAGUAUCUCUGGGUUCAAGGCCUGCCUGGUCUACAUGGCAAUUUCUAGGCUAUCCGGGGCAGCAUGAGGCCUUGUUUCAAGAAAAAAAAAAAGUCAGAGUCCAGGUGGGAAGGACCAUAAUAAGGCCCAUCUGUAAGAGGGACAGGAGACACUGGACACUUCUAAUGAUGUGUGAGCAUACAGGCAUAAACACAGACGGACACAUAAAGUAUCUAAAAAAAGGUCAAUAAUCAUGAUGAUUAAGAAAAAUAUGAAUAUUUAGAAGAAAACUGCAUUUUCAGAAGCCAUUCAUUUAUGUUAGAGAAUAUAUUAAAUAUUUAAAUAGAUGGUACUUUAAGGACUUACUUGAAACUUAGCCUUAAUUUCUUUUCUUUUGGUAUUCUCCAAAAGCUUAAACUUUGGACUAUGGAACACUGUAGCAUCUGAGGCUUCUUUUAAAACGGUAUUUUAAGGAGAUGAAAGUUAUAAAAGAAAUGCUUGGUCUUUUCCAUGCUGUUCAUCCUCAACCAAAACAGAAAUCUUAAACAUUUAACCCUUAAAACAUGAAGGUCUCCAGUAUUUCAGAUGUCAGUGUGUGAGAACAAGGAAGGAGCCAGAAUUUGACUUCCUGUGCGAUAGAAGAGCUGACUAACUUUUCCUCCAAACCAGCAAAAUAAACCAUGUGAACUCUGGUUCAGAAUGACUGAAGGAUGUACUGAAUGUGCAUUAGUAACUUAGGCAGAUGAAGAUGAUUCGGCCACCCAAUUCUACAUUGUUUUUCUGACUUUCUUUUUUUUUUUUUUUUGGCUCUUUUUUUCGGAGCUGGGGACCGAACCCAGGGCCUUACGCUUCCUAGGCAAGCGCUCUACCACUGAGCUAAAUCCCCAGCCCCGA